GGGGAUAUCAGGUCCAUGUUUAUAUAGCAUUUUAAAUGUUAAAAAAGAAAUUACUUUGCGGGUCAUAAGAAAACCAGGCAAUGGGUCAGAUUUAACCCCCAGGCCCUGGUUCUGCCCACCUAAUUUAAACCGGGGUCCUUGGACUUGAGAUGCUUUGAAUAUUUUUUUUUUCUGGUCCAAGAAAAUAUUAUAUUUGAGUACUUCAAGUCAAAUCACAUGUAAUCAAAUUGCAACCAAAGGCAAGCUGCUAAUCCCAAGGCCAGGGUGGAUGGUCCAGUUCAUGAGAGAGGCCGCCCCCCCCCCUCCCCGGGAAGUCUUCCCACUCAGCACACACACACUGCUUUGUGAGGGAGGGUCUUUCAAAGUGGUCAGCGCUGUUUAUCCACAGAGGUUAAACCUUCAAGGAAUUAGGUGUCAGACCCCUUUUCUGUCCUCUCAGUCCGUGUGGCUGAAUGGAGCUGACUGCAUGGCUGUGCCUAUUUGACAAAAGCAGAAAGGUAAAUGAAUGCACAGAGGGAAAACUUCCAGUAACCCUAUAGGUAGCUUUAAUUUUAUUUUAAAUCACACAAGAUUAUAUUUACUUUAUUACAAUUGUACGCUCUAAUAUAAUUAUGAAAUUCAAAUAGUCAGGAUGAUACCAGUGAUUCCCGUGGCUGCCCUCUUGACCCCCAGUCCCAGGGCAGCCCCCAGCGUGUUGACUGUAUUUUCCGAGUUUAUUCCAAGAAUUUAUACACAUGCUUGGACUUACAGAAUAUAUAGAUUUGUACUCUUGUGCACAAAUCUUACGUGAUGUGUUAUUUUCUUAAACAAUGGAACUUGGUGAUGAUUUAAUCUCGGAACAUGGGUCUUACUCUUUUAAACUGCUGCACCGGAUUACAUGGUGUGUAUGCCCACGAUUUAUUUAUUCUCCCACCUAGCCAUUUCUAAUUUGUCACUACCGCAAACUCUGCUGCCCUCAAAGUCCCUGACAUGCCUUCCUGUCCAUCCUCCCAGAGGCACUGACCGAAACAGCUGGGUUUCUUUUG
ensembl:lncRNA